rnacentral:rRNA from 1 species
AAUCAACGCUGGCGGCGUGCCUAACACAUGCAAGUCGAACGCGAAAGCCCGCAAGGGUAAGUAGAGUGGCGCACGGGUGAGUAACACGUGGACAACCUGCCUUCGAGUGGGGAAUAACCUUCCGAAAGGAGGGCUAAUACCGCAUAACACCUCGGGACACAAGUUCUGGGGUUGAAAAGAGCAAUUUGCUCGAAGAGGGGUCCGCGCCUGAUUAGCUAGUUGGUGAGGUAACGGCUCACCAAGGCUUCGAUCAGUAGCCGUCCUGAGAGGGAGCACGGCCACACUGGAACUGAGACACGGUCCAGACUCCUACGGGAGGCAGCAGUGGGGAAUUUUGGCAAUGGGCGAAAGCCUGACCAAGCAACGCCGCGUGGGUGAUGAAGUAUCUUGGUACGUAAAACCCUUUCGGCAGGGACGAACCUAAUGACGGUACCUGCGGAAGAAGCCCCGGCUAACUCCGUGCCAGCCGCCGCGGU